GAUGAACGCUGGCGGCGUGCUUAACACAUGCAAGUCGAACGGAAAGGCCCAAGCUUGCUUGGGUACUCGAGUGGCGAACGGGUGAGUAACACGUGGGUGAUCUGCCCUGCACUUCGGGAUAAGCCUGGGAAACUGGGUCUAAUACCGGAUAGGACCACUUCGUAGUUGUUGUGGUGGAAAGGUUUUUCGGUGUGGGGUGAGCUCGCGGCCUAUCAGCUCGUCGGUGGGUUAUUGGCCUACCAAGGCGUCGCCGGGUAGCCGGCCUGAGAGGGUGUACGGCCACAUUGGUACUGAGAGACGGACCAGACUCCUACGGGAGGCAGCAGUGGGGAAUAUUGCGCAAUGGGCGGAAGCCUGAUGCAGCGACGCCGCGUGGAGGAUGACGGACUUGGGGUUGUAAACUCCUUUCGCCAAAGACGAAUUUAGGACGGUAUUUGGAGAGGAAGCACCGGCUAACUACGUG
rnacentral:rRNA from 1 species